UACGGAGGGUGCAAGCGUUGUCCGGAUUUAUUGGGUUUAAAGGGUGCGUAGGCGGCCCUGUAAGUCAGUGGUGAAAUACUGCAGCUUAACUGUAGCAUUGCCAUUGAUACUGUAGGGGCUUGAGUACAGAUGAGGUAGGCGGAAAUUGAUGGUGUAGCGGUGAAAUGCAUAGAUACCAUCAAGAACACCGAUUGCGAAGGCAGCUUACUAAGCUGUAACUGACGCUGAGGCACGAAAGCGUGGGGGAUCGAACAGG
rnacentral:rRNA from 1 species